rnacentral:misc_RNA from 1 species
CUUGGUCAUUUAGAGGAAGUAAAAGUCGUAACAAGGUCUCCGUUGGUGAACCAGCGGAGGGAUCAUUACCGAGUUUACAACUCCCAAACCCCUGUGAACAUACCUUUAUGUUGCCUCGGCGGAUCAGCCCGCGCCCCGUAAAACGGGACGGCCCGCCGCAGGAACCACAAAACUCUGAUUUUAGUGUAACUUCUGAGUCUAAAAAACAAAUAAAUCAAAACUUUCAACAACGGAUCUCUUGUUCUGGCAUCGAAGAAGAACGCAGCAAAAUGCGAUAAGUAAUGUGAAUUGCAGAAUUCAGUGAAUCAUCGAAUCUUUGAACGCACAUUGCGCCCGCCAGUAUUCUGGCGGGCAUGCCUGUUCGAGCGCCAUUUCAACCCUCAAGCCCCCGGGUUUGGUGUUGGGGAUCGGGCUGUACUCCAGCCCGGCCCCGAAAUCUAGUGGCGGUCUCGCUGCAGCCUCCAUUGCGUAGUAGCUAACACCUCGCAACUGGAACGCGGCGCGGCCAAGCCGUUAAACCCCCAACUUCUGAAUGUUGACCUCGGAUCAGGUAGGAAUACCCGCUGAACUUAAGCAUAUCAAUAAGCGGAGGA